AGUGAACGCUGGCGGUAGGCCUAACACAUGCAAGUCGAACGGCAGCACAGAGGAGCUUGCUCCUUGGGUGGCGAGUGGCGGACGGGUGAGGAAUACAUCGGAAUCUACUCUGUCGUGGGGGAUAACGUAGGGAAACUUACGCUAAUACCGCAUACGACCUACGGGUGAAAGCAGGGGAUCUUCGGACCUUGCGCGAUUGAAUGAGCCGAUGUCGGAUUAUGUAGUUGGCGGGGUAAAGGCCCACCAAGGCGACGAUCCGUAGCUGGUCUGAGAGGAUGAUCAGCCACACUGGAACUGAGACACGGUCCAAACUCCUACGGGAGGCAGCAGUGGGGAAUAUUGGACAAUGGGCGCAAGCCUGAUCCAGCCAUACCGCGUGGGUGAAGAAGGCCUUCGGGUUGUAAAGCCCUUUUGUUGGGAAAGAAAUCCAUCUGGUUAAUACCCGGGUGGGAUGACGGUACCCAAAGAAUAAGCACCGGCUAACUUCGUGCCAGCCGCCGCAGUAA
rnacentral:rRNA from 1 species